rnacentral:rRNA from 1 species
GACAGAGGCCUCGAGCGUUAGGCGGAAUCACUGGGCUUAAAGCGUGUGUAGGCGGAUCGUUAAGUGCCUUGUGAAAUCCCACGGCUUAACUGUGGAACGGCUGGGCAUACUGGCGGUCUUGAGCCAUCUAGGGGCGACUGGAACAAACGGUGGAGCGGUGAAAUGCGUAGAUAUCGUUUGGAACAUCAGUGGCGAAAGCGACUUCCUGGACCAAUACUGACGCUCAUGUGCGAAAGCGUGGGGAGCAAACAGG